rnacentral:piRNA from 1 species
UGCAUAUUAUUUUCGUGAAGCUGACAGUU